rnacentral:rRNA from 1 species
AUACGAAGGGGGCUAGCGUUGUUUGGAAUUACUGGGCGUAAAGCGCAUGUAGGCGGACAUUUAAGUCAGGGGUGAAAUCCCGGGGCUCAACCUCGGAACUGCCUUUGAUACUGGGUGUCUAGAGUGUGGAAGAGGUAAGUGGAAUUCCGAGUGUAGAGGUGAAAUGCGUAGAUAUUAGGAGGAACACCAGUGGCGAAGGCGGCUUACUGGGCACUAACUGACGCUGAGGCACGAAAGCAUGGGGAGC